rnacentral:rRNA from 1 species
UGAGUAACCUGCCCUUAACUCUGGGAUAAGCCUGGGAAACUGGGUCUAAUACCGGAUAUGACUCCUCAUCGCAUGGUGGGGGGUGGAAAGCUUUUUGUGGUUUUGGAUGGACUCGCGGCCUAUCAGCUAGUUGGUGAGGUAACGGCUCACCAAGGCAUCGACGGGUAGCUGGUCUGAGAGGACGAUCAGCCACACUGGGACUGAGACACGGCCCAGACUCCUACGGGAGGNAG